AUUAUGACCAUGAUUUAGGCUUCUCUGCAACUUUCUCUCUGACCUGUCUGUUGAGAUGCUUUGUCUUUGUAAAGAUGAUUGUUAAUUAAUUUUCUCUAACAAUUCUCUGUAAAGGCCUCUGAGGUCUUCAGAGAGACUUCAAAUGGGCUCUACUUACUUGCACUGGAUUUUAUUUACAGUUUUUCUCAAUUGCUUGAACACUAAACACUAUUUUCAGAACCAAAUGCUGAACCCACGGAUUAAAUCAGUCACUCUUGCAAAAGCAAAAGCAUCAGCAAUUUCACCUGUUUAGACACAACUUGCCAACACAUUUCAAAUGUGAUGCACCUGUGUUGCAUAAUAGUGAGCACAGGUGUCACCAGUUAAACACAAAACUCAAAAUUGAUCACACUUGUGGCAAAUGAUGUGAGGGAACAUAUAUAAGCCAGUGCAGAGAGCACUGUUUUGUGAGGCACUACAAUGGAUAGAAAUCUAAGAGGAGGGGUUUGUUUGAGAGGUGGUCGAGUUGGUCAGCGAAGACAAAGAACAGUAAUAUCUGAUGAAAUCAGAGCUACUGUUAUUGACCAUGUUCUUGUCCAUGGUAUGAGCAUGAGGGAGGCCGGACAACGGGUACAACCAAACAUCAGUACAUUCACUUUGUCCACCAUAAUCCGAAGAUUUAGAGAGGAGAACAGAGAGUCUUUCAACUGGAUGUAAUGGAAAGGCCCCAUGAAUACGUCUACAUGGAUUAAUCUCAACAAAAGGAGAAGAAGAAGCCAUUGCAUGAUUGGCCAACAGGCCACUGUUGGUGUCCCUGGGCAACGUGGUGGCAUCAUGGGGUUGUCCACCAUCAUGCCAACCUGGGGCCCUACAAUACUCACCAGCUCCUCAUUUUCCUCAAUCACAUGCAAGAUGCUCUGUUAGGGCAGCAGGAUGAACAUCCCAUUUAUGUUGUGAGUUUUCACAGAGCCCUCCAAGUUAGAGAGUGGUUCAAUAUGAACCAAGGUUUUAUCAAUCUUUGCCUUCCACCGUACUCUCCUUUCCUGAACCCCAUUGAAGAAUUAUUCACCUCGUGGCGGUGGAAGGUAUAUGAACACCAGCCUUACCCCAGGGUAAAUCUCCUGCAAGCCAUGGAACUAGCCUGAGGUCAUCAGUAUGGAGCCAUGCCAAGCCUGGAUACAGCAUGCCAGGGGUAUUUUCUACCGUUGCCUGGCCAGACAAAAUGUGGCCUGUGAUGUGGAUUAGGUCCUGUGGCCUGACCCAGUUAGGAGAAAUACAGUAUUUUUCAAUUGCUUAGACACCUACAUACCAUCCUCAAAGCCAGUUUUUCAGUAGCCAAACCAAGGUAUCAAGUCAGUCCCCUUGUGAUCAAAACCAAAAGCAUGUUUCACAUCACUAGACACUGCUUGCAAAAUGGUAAACACAUGCUGCACACUUUGGUCACAAUAAGGGCACGGAUGUCAGCAGCUAAACACAAUGACUCAAAAUUGAUUCCACCUUUGGCUAAUGAUAAAAGAACCAAUAUAAGCCAGUUGAGGAAGAUGUGGAAGGUCAAGGUUUUGCAAUGGAUAGAAGAAAGCAGAGAGGAAGACAAAGAGUACGCGUGAGAGCCUGAAUCCAGCAUGCUAGUGGCUUUUUCCUUUGUUGUUUGGCCAGGGAGAAUGUGGCCUGACCCAGAUAGAGGACACAAUGUAGCCGAAUGACUUAUUGCAUGUAGCUCAUGAUGAACUUCUUUCUUUUUUCAUUUUAUGUUUUUAAACAGUAUUUUUACUUGUACUUUAUGUUAUAAUAACCUCUACAUGGAUAUGGGUUUUCUGUGGGUUGUGACAUGAUGCAUUUGGCCUGCUGUGAAUAAAUACAAAACAUUAUUUUGACAGCA